GCGCCUGUCGGCAUCUUGCUUGCCGCAGGCUGGGUCACGUUGCGCCUGGGCGUCCAUUUCCGCUUCCGUGCGGUGACAGGGCUCACUUGGAUGUUGCUGCUGGCUGCGCGCUGCUCAUCGAUACAUAGCCGAUGCCGCCUACUGAACUGUCGCUUUUGUAUAGCGUCCCGUUCCCUGCUCCACGUCACGUUGGCCGGGACUGCCCGAUUGGGUGGCCGACAGUAGCGGCGCAGCGGCGGCCAAUCCACCUGUGCUGAGCCUACGGUGGUGGACUGGUGUCCUGGUCACGGUGUCCCUUUUGUAUUGUGUUUGCAUUUGGUUUAUUUUUCAUUUGUUUUACGUGUGGUGUUCCUGGGACCCCCUUUCCUUUGGAUGCAGG
ensembl:lncRNA